GCACACAGGUGCUGCAUGGCUGUCGUCAGCUCGUGUCGUGAGAUGUUGGGUUAAGUUCCGCAACGAGCGCAACCCUUGUCAUUAGUUGCUACGAAAGGGCACUCUAAUGAGACUGCCGGUGACAAACCGGAGGAAGUGGGGAUGACGUCAAGUCCUCAUGGCCCUUAUGGGUAGGGCUACACACGUCAUACAAUGGCCGGUACAAAGGGCAGCCAACCCGCGAGGGGGAGCCAAUCCCGUAAAGCCGGUCGUAGUCCGGAUCGCAGUCUGCAACUCGACUGCGUGAAGUCGGAAUCGCUAGUAAUCGUGGAUCAGCAUGUCACGGUGAAUACGUUCCCGGGUCUU
rnacentral:rRNA from 1 species